rnacentral:rRNA from 1 species
GACGAACGCUGGCGGCGUGCUUAACACAUGCAAGUCGAACGGAAAGGCCCCUUUGGGGGUACUCGAGUGGCGAACGGGUGAGUAACACGUGAGUAACCUGCCCUUGACUUCGGGAUAACUUCAGGAAACUGGGGCUAAUACCGGAUAGGAAUCCUUGCUGCAUGGUGGGGGUUGGAAAGCUUCGGCGGUUUUGGAUGGACUCGCGGCUUAUCAGCUUGUUGGUGGGGUAGUGGCUUACCAAGGCUUUGACGGGUAGCCGGCCUGAGAGGGCGACCGGCCACAUUGGGACUGAGAUACGGCCCAGACUCCUACGGGAGGCAGCAGUGGGGAAUAUUGCACAAUGGGCGGAAGCCUGAUGCAGCAACGCCGCGUGCGGGAUGACGGCCUUCGGGUUGUAAACCGCUUUCAGCAGGGGCGAAGCUUGUGGUGACGGUACCUGCUGAAGAAGCACCGGCUAACUACGUG